rnacentral:tRNA from 2 species
GCGCUCGUAGCUCAGCUGGAUAGAGUGACAGACUCCGACUCUGUAGGCCGCUGGUUCGAAUCCAGUCGGGCGCACCA